rnacentral:rRNA from 1 species
CCUACGGGAGGCAGCAGUGGGGAAUAUUGGGCAAUGGAGGAAACUCUGACCCAGCGACGCCGCGUGAGGGGUGAAGGCCUUCGGGUUGUAAACCUCUUUCAGUAGGGAAGAAGCGAAAGUGACGGUACCUACAGAAGAAGCACCGGCUAACUAUGUGCCAGCAGCCGCGGUGAUACAUAGGGUGCAAGCGUUGUCCGGAAUUAUUGGGCGUAAAGAGCUCGUAGGUGGUUCGAUACGUCGGAUGUGAAAAUCAGGGGCUCAACCCCGGACCUGCAUCCGAUACGGUCGAGCUAGAGUUUGGUAGGGGAGACUGGAAUUCCUGGUGUAGCGGUGGAAUGCGCAGAUAUCAGGAGGAACACCGAUGGCGAAGGCAGGUCUCUGGGCCAAUACUGACACUGAGGAGCGAAAGCGUGGGGAGCGAACAGGAUUAGAUACCCUGGUAGUCCACGCCGUAAACGGUGGGCGCUAGUUGUGCGAACCUUCCACGGUUUGUGCGACGCAGCUAACGCAUUAAGCGCCCCGCCUGGGGAGUACGAUCGCAAGAUUAAAACUCAAAUGAAUUGACGG